AGGGUCAGUGUUCAGUACCACAAGAUCAUUUCAAGAUUCAUGAAAGAUACUGAGCAUAAAAGACCUUGCUUACGCAGCUUCUAAGAAGCCCGUUUGUAAUUUACGCACCUGGCAUCUAUAAAUCUCAAAUUAACCAGAAAUUGACGGCACCUGAACGUGCCUUACAAUCAGCGAUUUCCCCUUAUAGAACGCUAGCACAAAUGAGGGUUUAGUCAGGAAUAGCAAUGGACCAAAAGAGAAGAGCUAACUUUGUGGAAGACGAGAUCCCGGCGAUGGUAGAGGAGAUUGAAGACAGGCAACACGUAUUAUUCGGUGGACUAAACAUGGGUGUGGUACGUCCCUCCCUGACCGUCCUACUUCCCUCCAGUGAGGAGCAGGACCAGGGGAAUGUGGCCCUAGUGUGCCUGGCCAACAGGGGCUUCCCGGGGGGCUGGAAACUGGGUUGGAGGCUAGGGGCCGGGGGGCCCUUGCAGGGCAGCCAGAGUCUGGAGGUCCUGGAGAAGGACGGUCACUACAGCUGGAGCAGCAGCCUCACCCUCACCACUGACCAGUGGAGGAAGGCUGGCUCAGUCACCUGUGAGGCCACCCUAAAGGACCAGACCCCCGUCACUCACACACUGGAGCCACACCACUGCUCCCAGUAGACACCCUGUACACAGAGAACCCCUACCUAUCCGUCAUUCUAUCAUUCUAGAUAUAUAUCUAGAGCUUCAGCUUUGGUCAUCAAUCUGUGAUUCUGCAUCUUUAAAUCUGUACGUGUGUUUCAUCGCUUCUGAUUUUAGAUUGGAGAUGUUAACAAAAUAAAAUAC